rnacentral:rRNA from 1 species
UACAGAGGGCCCAAGCGUUGUUCGGAUUCACUGGGCGUAAAGGGUGCGUAGGCGGUCUGGUAAGUCUGAUGUGAAAUCUCACAGCUUAACUGUGAAACUGCAUUGGAUACUAGUCGGCUUGAGAGUUGGAGGGGGGACUGGAAUUCUUGGUGUAGCAGUGAAAUGCGUAGAUAUCAAGAGGAACACCAGUGGCGAAGGCGGCUGACUGGAUCGCAACUGACACUGAGGAACGAAAGCUAGGGGAGCAAACAGG